rnacentral:rRNA from 1 species
AUUGAACGCUGGCGGCAUGCUUUACACAUGCAAGUCGAACGGCAGCGCGGGCUUCGGCCUGGCGGCGAGUGGCGAACGGGGGAGUAAUACAUCGGAACAUGCCCAGCUGUAGGGGAUAGCUCGGCGAAAGCCGGAUUAAUACCGCAUACGACCUGAGGGUGAAAGCGGGGGAUCGUCGGACCGCGCGCGAGUGGGGGGGCCGAUGGCGGUUUAGCUAGUUGGUGGGGUAAAUGCCUACCAAGGCAACGAUCUGUAGCUGGUCUGAGAGGACGAUCAGCCACCCUGGGACUGAGACACGGCCAAGAGGCCUACGGGAGGCAGCAGUGGGGAAUUGUGGACAAUGGGCGAAAGUCUGAUCCAGCAAUGCCGCGUGUGUGAUGAAGGCCUUCGGGUUGUAAAGCACUUUUGGCGGGAACGAAAAGGACUGUGCCAAUACCACGGUUCGAUGACGGUACCCGCAGAAUAAGCACCGGCUAACUACGUG